rnacentral:rRNA from 1 species
CCUAACACAUGCAAGUCGAACGGUAACGCGAAGAGCUUGCUCUUUGGCGACGAGUGGCGGACGGGUGAGUAAUGCUUAGGAAUCUGCCCAGUAGUGGGGGACAACAUUCGGAAACGGAUGCUAAUACCGCAUACGCCUACGGGGGAAAGCCGGGGGAUCUUCGGACCUCGCGCUAAUGGAUGAGCCUAAGUCGGAUUAGCUUGUUGGUGAGGUAAGGGCUCACCAAGGCGACGAUCCGUAGCUGGUCUGAGAGGACGAUCAGCCACACUGGGACUGAGACACGGCCCAGACUCCUACGGGAGGCAGCAGUGGGGAAUAUUGCACAAUGGGCGCAAGCCUGAUGCAGCAAUGCCGCGUGUGUGAAGAAGGCCUGCGGGUUGUAAAGCACUUUCAGUAGAGAAGAAAAGCCUACGGUUAAUACCCGUGAGUCUUGACGUAACCUACAGAAGAAGCACCGGCUAACUCCGUG